rnacentral:misc_RNA from 1 species
GAUGAAGAACGUAGUGAAAUGCGAUACGUAAUGUGAAUUGCAGAAUUCCGUGAAUCAUCGAGUCUUUGAACGCACAUUGCGCCUCAUGGCAUUCCGUGAGGCAUGCCCAUCUCAGCGUUAGAAAAUAUUCUCAAAUUUUAGUUUUGUGCUAAAAUUUGGAUCAUGUCAAGGAAGCUAUUACUAUUAUUGUGAUCGCUCUUUGGAAAUUGAUAGGUCUUUGAGUUGCUACUCAUAGAACGUGAUGAAUCUUUCUUCGUUCUAUUGUAAUUCACUCUGGUAGUCCUAAAACUUGUAUGCCUGUGGCAUAUCUUGUAAUUUGACCUGAGAUUGGGUAGGGAUACCCGCUGAACUUAAGCAUAUCAAUAAGCGGAGGA